CCCAUCUAAUCACCUUCAACACCAACAUGUUCUCUGUAGCUCCGUUGCUGCUGCUGCUGGCUGCUGCAUCCUGUGUGAAGUGUGAACAGCUGACACAGCAGACGUCUGUUACUCUGCAGCCAGGUCAGCAUCUGGCCAUCAACUGUCAGGUGUCUUAUUCGGUGGGCAGCUACAUGACACACUGGAUCAGACAGCCAACAGGAAAAGGAUUGGAAUGGAUUGGCACUUCAUGUGAUGGAUGCAGCCCAAGCUUCAAAGAUUCACUUGAAAAAAAGUUCAGUAUCACCUUCAUUUCUUCCAGCAACACAGUGACUCUGAAUGGACAGAAUCUGCAGCCUGAAGACUCUGCUGUGUAUUACUGUGCCAGAGAGACACAGUGA